GAUGAACGCUGGCGGCGUGCCUAACACAUGCAAGUCGAGCGAGCUGAAUUGUUUGAAGCCUUCGGGUGGAAAAUAAGGAUGCUAGCGGCGGACGGGUGAGUAACGCGUGGGCAACCUACCCUGUACAGGGGGAUAACAAUGGGAAACCAUUGCUAAUACCCCAUAAUACCUUUAAGGGGCAUCCCUUAAAGGUCAAAGAAUUUCGGUAUAGGAUGGGCCCGCGUCUGAUUAGCUAGUUGGUGAGGUAAUGGCUCACCAAGGCGACGAUCAGUAGCCGGCCUGAGAGGGUGAACGGCCACACUGGAACUGAGACACGGUCCAGACUCCUACGGGAGGCAGCAGUGGGGAAUAUUGCACAAUGGGGGAAACCCUGAUGCAGCAACGCCGCGUGAGCGAUGAAGGCUUUCGAGUCGUAAAGCUCUGUCCUAAGGGAAGAUAAUGACGGUACCUUAGGAGGAAGCCCCGGCUAACUACGUGCCAGCAGCCGCGGUAAUACGUAGGGGGCAAGCGUUAUCCGGAAUCAUUGGGCGUAAAGGGUGCGUAGGCGGCCUUAUAAGUCAGAGGUCAAAGGCUACGGCUCAACCGUAGUAAGCCUUUGAAACUGUAGGGCUUGAGUGCAGGAGAGGAGAGUGGAAUUCCUAGUGUAGCGGUGAAAUGCGUAGAUAUUAGGAGGAACACCAGUGGCGAAGGCGACUCUCUGGACUGCAACUGACGCUGAGGCACGAAAGCGUGGGUAGCGAACAGGAUUAGAUACCCUGGUAGUCCACGCCGUAAACGAUGAGUGCUAGGUGUCGGGGGUCAAACUUCGGUGCCGCAGUUAACGCAUUAAGCACUCCGCCUGGGGAGUACGUACGCAAGUAUGAAACUCAAAGGAAUUGACGGGGACCCGCACAAGCAGCGGAGCAU
rnacentral:rRNA from 1 species